AGGGUUUGAUCAUGGCUCAGGAUGAACGCUAGCGGCAGGCUUAACACAUGCAAGUCGAGGGGUAACAGGGAUUGCUUGCAAUCCGCUGACGACCGGCGCACGGGUGCGUAACGCGUAUGCAACCUACCUUUUACUGGGGGAUAGUCAAGAGAAAUUUUGAAUAAUACCCCAUACGAUCUGAUUCACUCCUGUGAAGCAGAAGAAAAUUCCGAUGGUAAAAGAUGGGCAUGCGUCCUAUUAGUUUGUUGGUGAGGUAACGGCUCACCAAGACUACGAUAGGUAGGGGUCCUGAGAGGGAGAUCCCCCACACUGGUACUGAGACACGGACCAGACUCCUACGGGAGGCAGCAGUGAGGAAUAUUGGACAAUGGAGGCAACUCUGAUCCAGCCAUGCCGCGUGCAGGAAGACGGCCCUAUGGGUUGUAAACUGCUUUUAUACAGGAAGAAACGUUAGUACGUGUACUAGCCUGACGGUACUGUAAGAAUAAGGAUCGGCUAACUCCGUGCCAGCCGCCGCGGUAAU
rnacentral:rRNA from 1 species